rnacentral:rRNA from 1 species
ACGAACGCUGGCGGCGUGCCUAAUACAUGCAAGUAGCACGCUGAAGGAGGAGCUUGCUCUUCUGGAUGAGUUGCGAACGGGUGAGUAACGCGUAGGUAACCUGCCUGGUAGCGGGGGAUAACUAUUGGAAACGAUAGCUAAUACCGCAUAACAGUAGAUGUUGCAUGACAUUUACUUAAAAGGUGCAAUUGCAUCACUACCAGAUGGACCUGCGUUGUAUUAGCUAGUUGGUGGGGUAACGGCUCACCAAGGCGACGAUACAUAGCCGACCCGAGAGGGUGAUCGGCCACACUGGGACUGAGACACGGCCCAGACUCCUACGGGAGGCAGCAGUAGGGAAUCUUCGGCAAUGGACGGAAGUCUGACCGAGCAACGCCGCGUGAGUGAAGAAGGGUUUCGGAUCGUAAAGCUCUGUUGUAAGAGAAGAACGAGUGUGAGAGUGGAAAGUUCACACUGUGACGGUAUCUUACCAGAAAGGGACGGCUAACUACGUG